UCUACGGGAGGCAGCAGUGGGGGAUAUUGCACAAUGGAGGCAACUCUGAUCCAGCGACGCCGCGUGAAUGAAGAAGUCUUUCGGUAUGUAAAGCUCUAUCAGCAGGGAAGAAGAAAGACGGUUCCUGCCUAAGAAGCCCAGGCUAACUACGUGCCAGCAGCCGCAGUAAUACGUAGGGGGCAAGCGUUCCCCGGAUUUACUGGGUGUAAAGGGCGCGUCGACGGCAAUACAAGUCGGAAGUGAAAACAGCGGGCUGAACCCGGGAACUGCUUUGGAAACUGUAUGGGUUGAGUGCUGGAGAGGUAAGCGGAAUUCCUAGUGUAGCGGUGAAAGGCGUAGAUAUUAGGAGGAACACCAGUGGCGAAGGCGGCUUACUGGACAGUAACUGACGGUGAGGCUCGAAAGCGUGGGGAGCAAACAGGAUUAGAUACCCGGGUAGUC
rnacentral:rRNA from 1 species